CUUCUUUCUCUCUCUCUCCUUUGUUCCUUCUUUCUUUUAUUUCUUCCUUCCCUCCAAUCAUCACACUUUACAAAGCACAUUCUACUGUUUAGCCUUUGGCUAGGUACUGGCAUGCAAAAAUGAAUAAGAAAUGGUCUCCCUUGUGGUCUUCAAGAAACAUUCACUUAGCAUGUGGCAGAAAUAUGCACAAUUAACAGACAGUGCCUUUUAAAUGAGAUAGGUGCUCUGAUAGUUGUAUUCAGAGCAAUAAAUUAGACCGGGGACAGCAUCCUAGAAGCAACUAGCGUUUUAGAUUGGUUUUGGGUUGCAAAUAAUCAGCUGGCCAGAUACACAAAGGCGAUGGGGAAAGAAAAUUUCAGAGAGCAGAGAAAACAUGUAAAGGCAUAGUAGGGUGUAUAUAAGUUAUAUUUUAUUGAGGAAACAGAAAUUACCCUAGGCAUUUUAAGCUGAAGAAAUUUAAUUUGAAUGAUCUUGAAAGAUCUUCUGAGGCCUAAAAACGGCCUCAUGUGUGUCAGGAAGCAAAUCCUCCUUGAGUUGAGCCUUGAGAUGACCACAGUCCAGACUGACACCUUCACUGCAGCCUGUGGAAGACCCUGAGCCAGAGGACCCAGCUAAGUUGCACUGGAUUCCUGACUCUCAGAUAAUAAGUGUAAGUUGUAUUAAGCGGCUGACUUUUGGGCUAAUUUGUUAUACAGUUAUAUAAAACUAAUGCAAGAACUUUUACCAAUUUUUGUGAGCAUCUAAUUUCCAAAUUAAAUUUCUUCAGCCUAAAGUUCCUAGGAUAGUUUCUGUUUCCUCAAUACAUCCACCAGAGCAUCUAGGUAUGAGGGUUCAAUUGCUCCAUUUACUGACUCACACUUAGUAUAGUCUGUAUUUUUAUUUUAGCAAUUCUGUAUGGUGACAUCAUAUUGUGAUUUUAAUGUUUAUUUAUCUGAUGACUAAUGAAGUUGAAUACACCUUUGUGUGUUUAUUGGCCAUUUGAAUAUCAUUAGUAGUGAAGGUCUUUUAAAAAUUUCUGUCCUUUUUUUCUAAGUCGUCUGUCUUUUUGUUAUAGAUUAUGAGUUUUUCAUAUAUCUAGAUAUGCAUCCUUUGUUAGAUAUACAUGUCUUGCCACAUUUUGUGGUUUGCCUUUUCACUUUGUUAAUGACGUCUUCUGAAAAUAAGAAGUUCCUAAUUUUAAUAUGGUCCAAUUUAUCAUUAUUUUCUUCUGUGAUUUGUAAUUUUAGUAUCCUGUUCAAGAAAUCUUUGCCUAAUCCAAGGUCAUAAAGACAUUUCCUUAUGUCUUCCUCUAAAAUCUGUAUUGUUUUACCUUUCAUAUUUAGAUCUGCAACCCACCUGGAAUUGAUUUUUGUUUAUGGUGGGAGGUAAAGGUCAAGAUGCAAUAUUUUCCUCAUAAAGUAAGUAUCCAGUGGACCCAGCAUCACUUCUUGGAAAGACCCACUUUUCAGCAUUGCACUACAGUAGAGCUUUGGUUAUAAAUCUGGUAUCUGACUGUAUGUGUGGAAGAUCCUACUAAGUUUUUGAGGAAGUUCUACUGUCAAAGACACUAUGUUAUUCAGAAAUCUGGCAUAUUUAUCUAUUUAUUUUUGAGUAAUAAAGGAAAUGGGCUAUUUAAAAUCCUAAGCCAUCACGUAGCUUCACAAAGAUCCUAAUUUUGUUAAUAGGACUUCCAAAAAUUUGCUCUCUAUAUUUUGAGAUAUCUGGUUAUUAUCCAUUUUCCUGAUCCUUGGAAAAUAUAUUGCUUGCUUUAGACAAGCUCACAGAUGUUCCAUCUGCCCAAACUCUUCUUUCUGUUUCACUGGACAGGAAGUAGCAAGCCAUGCCAUGAAUGAUGUUAUGAAUCCUGGCAAGGAUAAAGAAGCUUUUAAAGGCAUGUCCAUCAACUUUUUCCAAGAGAGCCAGAAAAGGAUCCGGGAGCCAUGCAUUCCUGCUGCUUCCUGUUUUUCCCCAGCCUGGGAUGGAGCAAGGGAUUUUGCCCAUUACAAAUGAAGCUAUAAACAUUCAUAUACAGGUUUUCAUAUGAUCAUAAGUUUCCAUUUCUCUGGAAUAAUUGCCCAAGAGUUCAACUCCUGGGUCAUAUGGUAAGUAUAAGUUCAGUUUUGUAAGAAAGUGAAACUGCUAUACUCUUUCUUCAGAGUGGCUGUACCAUUUUACAUUCUGAUCAGCAAGGUAUGAGUGAUCCAGUUUUUCUGCAUCCUUGUCAGCAUUUGGUGUUCUCACAAAUUUUUAUUUUAUUUUAGCCCCUCAUUUGGUGUGUAGUGAUAUCCCCUUGUGGUUUUGAUUUACAUUUGACUAAUGGCUAAUGAUACCGAAUAUUUUCCCACGUGAUUAUUUGCCAUCUGUACACUCGCCUCAGUAAAAUGAUUCCUUAUGUCUUUUGCCUAAUUUCCAAUUAUAUCAUUUUGUUUUUGUACUCUUAAGUUUUGAGAUUUUUUGUGAAAUAUAUGCUAAAUGCAAGACUUUUUAUGGUUAUGUGGUUUACUAAUAUUAUCUCCCAAUCUGUAGCUUGUUUUUUCAUCCUUUCCUCAAGGUCUUUCACAGGAAAAAGUUUUUAAUUUUGGUGAGGUCAAUUCACUCAUUUUUUCCUUUAAUAAAUUGUGCUUUUGUUGUCAAGUCUAAAAACUCUUCAUUUGCCAGGGAGACUUAAGACUUUCUCCUAUAUUUUUUACUAAAAGUGUGAUAGUUUUCUAUUUUACAUUUAAAUCUGCGACUCUCUUGAGUUAACAUUUUCUUAUAAGGUCUGAGGCUUAGGUAAAGGUUCUUUUUUUCGGCCUAUGCUCCAAUUGCUCUAGUGCCAUUCUUUGAAAAAUGCUUCCCCGGGGAAGUUUGAAAACCACUGCAAACUUUGGCAGAUUAAUACCCUUGCAUCUACCUCCCUCUUCUGGUGCAUUCUACAAGUUAUUAAGAAGCUUGUUCAGAGUGUCUUAGGUUCCAAACGUACUAACGCAUCUGGAGUUUGGCAAAUUUGAGUAUUUUGAGUUGAGAUCCCAAUUCAUAAAUAAAUUUCUUCACUUUCUUCUCCACUCCCCUCCUUCCUGCAUUUAUUCUUCUGUUUUUCUUCACCUUCUCUCUACCCCACUUCCAAUUCUCCUCUUCUUUCUCCUUAUCAUGGCAAGACUAGGUUGUAUAUACUAGGGAUGAGGCAAUGAACAAAUCAGACUUGUCUUCGUGGAGCUUAUACUCUGCAUGAGGGAGCAAAUAGAAAUAAUACAGGUCCAGAAGGUAAUAAGUGUCUGGAGACUAGUAGAUGUUGAUAAUAUAAUAAAGUUUAUUAGAAGAGAAGACUACUUUAAAUCAAAAUGUAAGCAAAGUCCUUUUUCAGACAGUGAUAUUUAAGCUGAAUCUUGAAUAAGGAGAUGGAAGCAGGCACUUGAGUUAAAAUCUGGGGAAGGGAUGUUGUAGGUUGAAGGAGCUAUCGAUACAAAGGCCACAAACUGUCACUGAGAGCAAUCCUUUUUGAAGACACAGGAGGUCAGUAUGAUGAAAGUUGGGAAAAAUAGUUUGAUUUUCUUUUGGGCUUAGUUGGCAGAGGACAAAUCAUGUGGGUUCUUGUAGCCCAGGAGAGAAGUUUGUACUUUAUUUUUAAUCCCAUAGGAUGACAUGGGUGGGUUCUAAACAAGAAAGUAAUGUGAUUUACAUCUUUAAAGGAUUGCCUUGGCUGCUAAGUAGAAAAAGUCAUAUGUGUGGAAACCAAAGGGAAACAGGCAAACCAGUUAAAGGGUUCCUGGAGAACUCUCAGUGAGAGAGGAUGUGGUGUGGACCAAGGUGAUGGCAGUGCAGAUGGGGAGAAGUGCUUGGAUUACAAUGAUGUUUUGGAGUAGAACCAACAGGACUGUAAAUUUAGCAGAUGUGUGGAGUGAGUAUAAGAGAGGAAUCAACAGUGAAUUCUUUGAUCUGAGAAAUUGUAUAAUUUCUCAUAAUUUACUUCAAAUUUCUCAUCAUUUCUGUAGAAUUUCUGAUAAUUUAUUUCAAAUCAUUUACUGAAAUGGGUAAAACUAGCUGAAAAUAGAUUUGGGAGGUAAUAAGUACUCAUUCUCUGUUUUGAACUUGUUAAUUUUGAGAUGUUUGCAAUACAUCCAAGUUAAGAUGCUAAGUAGUCAAAUGGAGAUACAAAUCUGGAGAUGAAGGGAAAGAUCAGAUACAAAUACACACAUUUGUCAUGUGGUAUAUAAAGCUUAGAACUUGAUGAAAUCAUGUAGGGGGAGAAUAUAGCUAGAGAUGAAGACAUGCAGAGAUCCCAACAUACAGAGGUUGUCAAGGAGUAGAAGGACCAGUGAGGGAGGAGGGAAAAGGAGAGUGUGGUAUGUCAGAGUACAACAGGAGGAUGUGUGUCAAGAAGCGGUCAGCCCUGCCAAAUGCUGACAAGGGCCAAGCAUAAUGAGAAUUUGAGUAACGUAGAGAAAUUGUUUUGGGCUUUAUGCACAAGCACUUUAUGGUGAUAGAAAUACAAGGACAGCAUUUUCUUGUGUCUCUGGUUUAGCAUCUGAAGGAAAGAGAGAAGCAAAAGAUGAGAAGUUGACUUCAGGGAAUAAGUUGUAUCAUCACAGAACCUCAAAGAGUGCUCAUUAAAUUUUCUGAGCACUUGCUCUAUUCCCUGUGUUUCCAUCAUACAGAGGUCGGUAAUGAAUUUUCUAUUCUGUCUCACCAUUUGCUUUCAUCCAUUUUUCUCAAAGGUUUUCAAUAACCAUAGCUUCGAUAACUCAGGCCUCAGUUCUAAGACCACACUGUCAGAAAAAUUGUAUGAAAGGAAAAGAAUUGAGGUGCCUGUUCACUAAUUGAAUGUGACUUUUGUAAUAAGUCCGGCUUAGUUCCAGGCAUAUAUCUUGCAAAUAAAUACUAUUCCAGGAGCACUAAUGAAAAGGUUAUUACAGUCUUACUCUGGGGUACAUUGUUGAAUGACACCUAAUGAUACAUGUAUGUGUAUUUAGGGACAAAUUGCAGGCCCCAUUCUUAUUUGUGAUAUAGGACAGCUCUCUUCUAGCUAUUAAGGGUCAGUUUCCUCAUCCGUCUAAUACAGAUGAAACUAUGUAUCCUCCAGAGUAAUUG
rnacentral:lncRNA from 1 species